GCGGCGGGGGACAGCGGCGGCUGGUCGGGGCGGGUGGGUGCCGGGGGUUCACCCGGUCCCGCGGGGCCGCAGCCCCUCCGUACCCCGGAGGCCGCGGCGAUGAGGAGAAGGAGGAGGACGAUGACGACGACAGAGUGGACUCGGCGGAAACCUCCCUGCUGAACAAGCUGAUCCGCACGUCCCUUGUGGAGUCCAGCCAUCACGUGGAGAUCCUGCAGCAGGACCCCAGCUCCCCGCUCUUCUCUGUCAAAACGUUUGAAGAGCUGCCACUGAAGAAAGAGCUCCUGCAGGGGAUUUACAUCAUGGGCUUCAACAGACCCUCCAAAAUCCAGGAGACGGCUCUGCCGAUCAUGCUUGCGUACCCGCCCCAAAAUCUGAUUGCCCAGAGCCAGUCAGGGACAGGGAAAACGGCAGCUUUUGUCUUGGCGAUGCUGAGCAGAGUUAAUGCUGCUGAGAAAUACCCACAGUGCCUCUGCCUGGCUCCCACCUAUGAGCUGGCCCUGCAGAUUGGGUGCGUGAUCGAGACCAUCGGGCGCUUUUGCGCCGACAUCAAGGUUACCUACGCCAUCCGGGGAAACCGAGUUCUGCAGGGCACCGCACUGGAGGAGCAGAUCGUCAUCGGGACGCCAGGGACGAUGCUGGACUGGUGUUUCAAACGGAGGGUUGUGGACGUGAAGAAGAUCAACAUGUUCGUGCUGGACGAGGCCGACAUCAUGAUCGACUCCCAGGGCCUCUCCUAUCAAAGCAUUCGCAUUCAGAGGGCUUUACCCAAGGGCUGCCAGAUGCUGCUGUUCUCGGCCACCUUCAAGGAAUCCGUACGGGCUUUCGCCGUGCAAAUCAUCUCCAACCCCAUCGUGAUAAAGCUGCGUGAGGAAGAGCUCACCCUCAGCAACAUCAGGCAGUACUUCUUCGUCUGCAGGAGCAGGGAGGAGAAGUACAGAGCCCUCUGCAACAUCUACGGCAGCGUCACCAUCGGCCAGGCCAUGAUCUUCUGCCAGACUCGUCGGAGCGCGGACUGGCUGUCGGUGGAGAUGAGCCAGGACGGGCACCAGGUGGCCAUCCUGACGGCCGAGCUGACAGUAGCCCAGCGCGCUGACGUCAUCCAACGCUUCCGCGACGGGAAGGAGAAGGUCCUCAUUGCCACCAAUGUCUGCGCCAGAGGGAUCGACGUGCAGCAGGUCACCAUCGUGGUGAACUUCAGCCUCCCCACCGAUCAGAAUAGCGAGCCGGAUUUCGAGACCUACCUCCACCGCAUCGGGCGAACAGGACGCUUCGGGAAGAAGGGCAUUGCCUUCAGCAUGGUGGAAAGCCAGAACGUGGGGCUGGUGCAGAUGAUAGAGGAGCAUUUCCGUGAGUAUCCGCAUGUAUCCGCCUCUCCGGGAGGCGGUUUUGGGACUGGCGAUUCCCCCUCCGGCUCGUGUCCCAUCUGCUGGGCUGUUCCCACACAGUGCAGGCGACGGAUGCAGCUUUUCCUUCAGCCCCUCGCCCUUUUCGGUUGGUUUUUUGGCAAAUUGAUUGUCCAUCAUAAAUGGCAAGAGGAUUUUCACAGGAUUUACAAGAUGCUGUGGCUGCACCGGUGGAUUUUCAAAUCCUGGUGCCUGUUUUCCCUGCGAUUUUUAGGGAAAAGAUGGUUAUCGGAACCUUCCGGCACGCAGAAAACCACGUCCCUGCCUCAGUUCCCCCCUUGGAGCUGCUGAACUGUCGUGGCAGCUUGUCCUUGAAAUUUAAACACCGAACAAGCCCAGGGCAGCAGAAGAGACCAGUCUGGCAAAGAUGUUUUAUUCUGAGCAGCAGAAGCGUCGUCCGACUGCCAUGAGCAGCUUUAACAACGACAGAACUAGCCGAAGGAGCCCAGCGUGGGAUUUCCACGGGACAAAAACCUGAGCAGAUGAGCUCCCGGCGACCUGACUUUUGCUUUUUAACACCGUGACGUUGCGAUUCGAGGGCCAGGGGGCUGCCUGACGAGGAUAACGCCCCUUCCCCGUCCCACAUCGCUUCCCAGAGACCAAGAUCAAGCAGCUGGACCCAGAUGACAUGGACGAGCUCGAGAAGCUUGAAAACUGAGUGAGCAACGGGGAUUUGCUCCCCUGGAUCCGAGUUUUGGUUCAAAAUGGAAGGGAAAGUUACAAGAGGGGGAAAACAAAAAUCUCCAGGUUCUCGUACAACUUUCCCAAAGCUGUUCGGUUUUGUUGUGGUGUUUUAGAAGAAACCCUCAGGCUCGGCGAUGAUCGGCCUUGGUUUUGUUCCUGGUUCUAGUGCUGAGAUUUUCACAGCCGUGGCUUGAGGAAUUCCCCGAGGGGCUGAACCCAGGGUAAGGCUCCUCAAAAACGGGUCUGGCUGCGCUCGGAGUCAGAAAAUGGGUAAAAAAACCCCGUAACUGGCCUAAAAAAGCUCCUGCUUGUCUCCAGGCAGCGUUUCUGCCCGUAAAAUCUCAGAGAAAACUUUGAUAUGAAAAUCAGGAGAAAGGAGCGAGUUAUUAAAAAAAAAUAAAUAAAUAACCAGGUCUCGCUAGAUGGCAGCAGGAGAUUGGGCCGCGGUGCGCUGCCUGUCCCCACGCGGGCUCUGUUUGUCCCCAGAGCUAAUUAAUAAACCGGAAUGAUUUAUAAUUA